GGCAGCUAUAAAAGAUGACAGAGGGAGAAGAACCGAUUGUAUAUUUUUAUAAUCAGCAUGUAUUACAUAAAAAUUAUCUGAUCAUAAUCAAAUUAUUUCUUCUUCCGUCUUAUUCACUUUGCCUACACGUACAAAACCGUGACGUAGUAUAAAUUGAUAGAAACAUCAAUUUUUUUUUGUAUAAGCUUAUUUAGUUUAAGUAGUAGGUGAAGAGAGACACAAGGGAAGCUCCAACCAAAGAGCCAAGAGCCGGUACGGCUACGGAGGCUCCACUUGCGGCGGGUCCUGGUGCCGGAGCUCCAACCUCUGUGGCCAUGACGGUGGUCAUGGAAGCAGCAGCGAAAAGAACUCCACAGGCAAUCUUCUUCAUCUCCAUUUCUAGUUGAGACCUGAAAGUUUUUUUUCUUUUUGUUUUUUAGUGGUAGUUUUGUUUCUUUCUUUUUUUUUGUUUCUUGCAGGUCUGAAGAUAAUUAGAUGGUGAUCAAAGGAAAUUUAUACGGGAGGUAGUUAACUUAUUUUAAUUAGGGAUGUUUAUUUUAGGUAUGGAUUCUUAACAAAAUUAUUUAGAAAUUACAUCAGUAAUGUAAUGUAAGUAUACUGAUCACCGUUGAAUUUGUGUUCCAUUUUGUGGUUUUGAGUUAUUUAAGUGUUCCCAUCCAUAUUUUUACCGGGUCAAAAAGUAUAUUUAUUUCUAAGUUAUAAACUCUAUUUAGUUUAUUUAUACGAACUUUUAACCAAAAUAAGAAUACAUCUAGUUUUUGAAAACGGCACUAAAUAAAAAUAAAUAAAACAUAGCAUAUUACUAACCAAAAUUAGUAUAUUGAGAAUUGAAAAGUUGUAAAUUAGGAUUUUAACGUUGUGCUAUAUCUUUAUAUAUAGUAUAUGUAUAUACAGUUCCCGUUGAUCUUAAUACCUUUUAGAGUUAUUGGUCUGCACAUGCAAAUGUCUAAUUAAAUUUCAGUUUCUUCUUAUAGCAUGCUUAUAUACAUUUGUGUUCUGGCAGAUCACAUAUCUUGAUUCAGUUAUCGCAAUAGAGGUAUUGUGAUGUUUUACUUCUUUAAGGUUACUUAAGUAACCUAGUUGAAUCAAAAUAGCAGGCUUGGCAUGCAUAGAAUCUGGAUCACUAUUUUUUCUAGGAUAUAAGUCACUGAGAGCAUUUUCAAUUCCAUCUCGCUAUGCUAUUGUCCUUCCUCAUAAGCUUUUUUUUGGCAUGCAUAGAUUGUGGAGAACUAUGUUUUUUUGGCUAUUAUGGCCUCCCAAAUAGAAAUCGCUUUAUGCUAAUUAUAUACUAAUUCAUAUGGGAAAAUAACUUCACUUAAUCUACAAAAUUUAUUCGCAUAUGAUUUGGAAAAUAAUCAUGUUUUACGUGGGAUAGUUUGAGGGCAUAUUUUAUCUUGUUCUUUAAAUUAGUUUGAAUGUUUUACAAGGAUCGCAUGGAUCUUGUGAGGUCCAGUGUCUUCAUUACGUUUUCUCAUCUAGUGACCUCUUUAAAAAGAAAUAAAGCCCACUAAGCAAUAUAUUUUUUGUAUGCCAAAUGGUCAGAAAGGGAAUAACGAAUGAAUUAGCUUCUGUUUAUGCUUCUUUUCCUUUUGAUGGAUACAUUCUCAUUAGCAUAAAAAUAGUAAAAUUAUUCGUGAUCAGUAUAUUCUUAAUAGUUUUGGUGUUAUCUUGAACAAGAUGCUCCGUACUUGCGACAAAAAAAAAAAAGAUGCUCCGUACUUUGUGUUUGAUGACAUCAGCUUUCGGUGUAUUUAAAUAUGGGAAAUUUGGCAAAAUGAAAUAAAAUAACUAUGCUCUUGUCCCCUUAGAACUAAAACCGAAAAUAUUGUCCCUAUAGUAUAAACAUUAAUGAAAACACAGUUUAGUUCUUUCCAAUUAACUUUAAAAUACAAUUAACGUUUUGUUAUAAAGAAAAGUAAUAAGCUUAAUUACUGUUUUACUAUUUUAUCUAAGAAGUAAAUAAGGAGCUUAAGAAUUUAAAAAAAAAAACAGAACCCUACGUACUCUUCUUUCUCAAUCGAAGAGUCAUUUCUGUGGAGCCGUCGACACCUUCUUUCUCUGGCUUCUUAGCUCGUCGGGGAGCUUUAAAUCAUCAUCACAUCUUUCCAUCGACCUCCUGCUUUCGUCUUUCCUCUUUAAACACCACUGAUUACAAUCAUUUUGUAAUCUCCGCCCGCUACGAUUGGAGUUGUUCAAGCUCUGGAGAAAGCUUCUUGUCGCCGGUUCCCAAAAUUUGGAGGAUUUAUCACCACUUGAUCUGAUCAAUGUCCAGACCUUUGCUCAUAAAAUGAUGAACCUAGCUGAUUACAGAAAGAAGCUCGACCAUGAGGGAGCAUUGCUUCCCGGAUUGAUUGUUUAGCUGAUGAGGGAGAAGAGAAAGCCGUAGAGUGUUCAGAGAAGAAAAAGAAGAAAGGAAGAAAAGACGGGAGAAAUAUGUGGAAGAACAAGAGAAGAAACAGAAGAAAAAAAAAAGCAAAGUAGUCGAAGAGGAAACAACAACAGAUAAAGGUGAUAGCAAGAAGAAAACCAAGUCGCAGGAUGCUGAAUAGACAACAAGACAAGUUUUUGUAGUGUUAGAAGUUUUCCUAGAACAUGGCAAGCUCUGUUUUAUUUUUGCCAAAUUUAUUUGGAUUAGUUGUGAAUUGUUCAUAUCACAUAGUAUGGAUUGUCCACUCGACAAGUCUUGGAAUGUAAACCUGCUCAACGCAUACAUACAUCCGGACAAUGUUA